rnacentral:misc_RNA from 1 species
GAUGAAGAACGUAGCGAAAUGCGAUAAGUAGUGUGAAUUGCAGAAUUCAGUGAAUCAUCGAAUCUUUGAACGCACCUUGCGCCCUUUGGACAUUCCGAAGGGCAUGCCUGUUUGAGUAUCAUGAACACCUCAACUCUCACGGCUUGUCCGUGAUGAGCUUGGACUUUGGGGGUCUUGCCGGCCUGUGGUCGGCUCCUCUCAAAUGGAUCAGCUUGCCAGUGUUUGGUGGCAUCACAGGUGUGAUAACUAUCUGCGCUUGUGGUUUUCCAUCAGAUAACCUUCAGUGAUAUGGAGGUUCGCUGGAGCUCACAAAUGUCUCUCCUUAGUGAGGACAGCUCUUUGAACGUUUGAUCUCAAAUCAGGUAGGACUACCCGCUGAACUUAAGCAUAUCGAUAAGCGGAGGA